rnacentral:lncRNA from 1 species
GGAAGAGCAAGUAGCAAUGAAAAGGCUGACGCUGCCCAGCAGGAAUACGGCAGCAUGUGGUUGUGAGUCCAAACUGCCUACUGGUUGGAAGGAAAUGGGGGCGGGGAAUCCUAAUCCUAACGGGAAAAGGCAGACGCGCCCUCUCCUGGCAUCUCGGAAGAAUUCUGUUUCACUUUCUAGACCGCCAGCUCGUCAGGCUCCGCCUGCCGGAUCUUUGACAUCAAUCACCCUUGAGUUAACCUCCAGAACUGGGCAGAGGGGUAGCGUGUCAGUGCCCGCCCCCACACGUAAUUCCCGAGUGUCCCUCCUGCGUCUGUUAGGGGUGCCUGGGGUGAGUCACACUCCCUUUGGGUUUCUUUCUACUAUUUUAAACCAUAUUAAGCUCCUACAGAGCCCACAGGGGGGUGUAGCCACAGGUGCUCUGCUAUGUGACUGGCUCCCUGCUCCUCUUCUCCACUGGUGCCAGACCAUACUUGCUCCAACAUGGCCAUCUAAGAAGGGGACCCAGAAGGACAGCUGGGAAAGCAGCAAGAUGACCAUCUACGUGUUGUCCUUUGGGAAUGACUUUCAAGUUCAUGGCUGCGGUGGCUGCUACCCAAAGUCAACAGCACGGAAACCUUCCUGUUAUAUCAGAACCUCUAUCUAA